rnacentral:rRNA from 1 species
CCUACGGGAGGCAGCAGUAGGGAAUCUUCGGCAAUGGACGAAAGUCUGACCGAGCAACGCCGCGUGAGUGAAGAAGGUUUUCGGAUCGUAAAACUCUGUUGGUAGGGAAGAACGUUGGUGAGAGUGGAAAGCUCAUCAAGUGACGGUAACUACCCAGAAAGGGACGGCUAACUACGUGCCAGCAGCCGCGAUAAUACGUAGGUCCCGAGCGUUGCCCGGAUUUAUUGGGCGUAAAGCGAGCGCAGGUGGUUUAUUAAGUCUGGUGUAAAAGGCAGUGGCUCAACCAUUGUAUGCAUUGGAAACUGGUAGACUUGAGUGCAGGAGAGGAGAGUGGAAUUCCAUGUGUAGCGGUGAAAUGCGUAGAUAUAUGGAGGAACACCGGUGGCGAAAGCGGCUCUCUGGCCUGUAACUGACACUGAGGCUCGAAAGCGUGGGGAGCAAGCAGGAUUAGAUACCCCUGUAGUC